rnacentral:rRNA from 1 species
CAGCUCUAGGCGGUGGAUCACUCGGCUCGCGCGUCGAUGAAGAGCGCAGCCAGCUGCGUGAA